GCACCCGUGGCGUAGUGGUUAGCGCCCUCGUUUAAUCCGGUCGACGCGGGUUCGACCCCCACCCGGGGUG